AGCGAACGCUGGCGGCAGGCUUAACACAUGCAAGUCGAACGGGCUUCUUCGGAAGUCAGUGGCAGACGGGUGAGUAACACGUGGGAACGUGCCCUUCGGUUCGGAAUAACUCAGGGAAACUUGAGCUAAUACCGGAUACGCCCUUUUGGGGAAAGGUUUACUGCCGAAGGAUCGGCCCGCGUCUGAUUAGCUUGUUGGUGGGGUAACGGCCUACCAAGGCGACGAUCAGCAGCUGGUCUGAGAGGAUGAUCAGCCACACUGGGACUGAGACACGGCCCAGACUCCUACGGGAGGCAGCAGUGGGGAAUAUUGGACAAUGGGCGCAAGCCUGAUCCAGCCAUGCCGCGUGAGUGAUGAAGGCCUUAGGGUUGUAAAGCUCUUUUGUCCGGGACGAUAAUGACGGUACCGGAAGAAUAAGCCCCGGCUAACUUCGUG
rnacentral:rRNA from 1 species